UUGUGAUUACUUCGAAGUUGCUAUUUAUGAAGUUGCCAUAAAUCAUAUGUGUAAAGUUUUUUUUAAACACAGUACUUGCUUUCACACACUGUAGUCAUGAUAAAAUGAUAUAGAUAUUUUCUAAAAAAAAUAAGAAUUGUUUAUCUCUUAACAAGUCAGAGAAAUAGAUGUUUCUAUUUAAAUAUUUGGUGAAAAUAUUUUUCUUCUUUGUCAGCUACACUUCACAGUGACCUAUAAACAUCUUCUCCCAGAUAUUUAGUGUGUCCUAUACCUGAAAAUAAGUUAUAUUAAUUCCAUAACAAGUGAAAGCAAAUGGGCUUUCAUUUUAUUUUUUUUUUUGUCAGUCUUCCUUGCUCUCUUUCCAUCAGCUUAAGGGACAUGUCCCCUUAAGGUGACAGGCGCCACAGCUGAAUUUGAAUAUCACUCAUAGUCUGUCAUGAUUAGCAAAGAAGUCUUUAAUGAACCCGAAGUAGUGACUUAGAUGCUUCUAAGAAUUUGGAACUUGUAUCAAAUUUACUUUUUCUUUAAUUGAAUUGAAUUGAAUUAUUUUUUUCUAGUUUGGUAUGGAACAUGUAAGCAAGAUAGCUAUUGCUAGACAAAUCCAAUGGACAUGUAAUUUCGAUUAUAGUCCAAAACAAUGUCUUCCAAGAAGAUGUGAUGGAAUUUGGGGGGAGACAGGUGGCAUUUCUGUAAGCACUCCAGGCCUUAAAAGACUCUUCCUCAAGAUUAUAUUUCAUGAACAUAUCCCCCAGGCAUGGUGGUAAGGAAAACACUGCCCUUCUCAUUGCUUGGAAGACUGACCAGUGACCAUACUGGGCACCUCAGAUAUGAGAUAGUUUCUAAAGGGAGCUGUGGACUAAGUUCUUUAUGUAAUGCCUACCCAAAAAGGUUUUCUGAUAUUCUGAUGUUAAAAAUUGAAAUAACACAUUUGUUUCCAUGUUACAUUAUGUUCCUGCUAUGCUCUGGACCUUGCCUAUAAAAGCAAACUAGAAUGACACUAAAGGACCAAACCCAUUAGCAGAGUCUCAAAGACAAAGGUUUAUUUGUUUUUAUCUCAGGUGCAUGAGUGUUUUCCCUACAGGUAUGUAGAUGCACCAUGUGUAUCUGGUGCCCACAAAGGUCAGAUGAGGCCAUCAAAUCCCAUAGAGUUAGAGUUACAGCCUGUGAGCUACCAUGUGGAUGCUGGAAAUCCAACCCAGGGCCUCUGCCAGAGCAGCAAGUACUCUUAACCGUUGAGCCGUAUCUCCAGCUCCUAGAUUCUGAAAUAUAAACUUCAUCUUUUUUUUAAAGCUUAAUUUUUGUUUUUCAUUGAGCAUGGGUUUGUGUGUCUGUGUAUCUGUGUGUCUGUGUGUCUGUGUGUCUAUGUGUGUUCACAUUAGUUCAUAUGCUAGUGGAGGCUAGAGGUGUCAGAUCUUUCUGGGUCUGGAGUUACAGUUGGUUAUUAAUCACCCUUUGUGGGUACUUGGAACUGAACCCUCAUCCUUUGCUAGGGCACUGAGAACUCCGAACCACUGAACUCCAGCUCUAAACUCCAUCUGUUUCCAUCGCAAUUUGUUCAUUCUGAGUGUCUACAGCACCAGUAUACUUGACAUGCAAGCAUCCAGGAAAUUUGUGUCUAGGAAAAGCACAGGCUUAGAGGAGAGCUACAACAAACAGGAAGCUUUGAAAACAUGGAUGUGACAGUGCUAGACCAGAGAAGAGUCUGUCUGUUAUUCUUCCCUAGCUCCAGAAGACACAUGACUGCAUCACAUUCUACACACUCCUUACGGGGAAAUAGUAUAUUUGUAUUUUAAUGCAGUUCUUCCCGCUGCUGGGAAUCCUAUAAACACUGGCUUUGCUGCCUCCUAUUUUCACUCAAUAUUUGGGAAUUCUUUGAUCUUGCUAUUAGGAAACAUGGAUGAACAAAACCUUUUCCGGGUUCCAUCUGCUCGUAUUUUAUUCAUCUAGUGUCAAAAUUCUUCCAACAAUCUGUUCCUAGAAACCCAAUCAUCUUCAAUAAGAAUUGACAAAAAAUGGUAUUCUUAACUUAAGGGACACACCUUUGGCUUAUGUUUAUUUGAAUUACAAUAUCAUCACACUUGAUUAAUGCUUGUAAAAUAAAGUUCAGUUUUAUACGAAAGUAAAAAAGUAAAGCCCGUGGGUCAGUAAGGUGUCUGCAAUGUUCACUGACCUGAAAUUGAUCCCUAAAACCUUGUAAAAACAAACAAAACCAAAAUAACAACAAACACUCAGGCUUGUAUUCCCAGACUUAAGAAGAAGACACAGACGGUUCCCUAGGCUCGCUGGCCAGCCAUCUAGGCAACUUAGAGAGUUCAAGGCCAGUGAGGGAAUCUGCCUCUGAAAGAGGUGAACACCACUUAGUGUUGUCCUCUGCCUUCAUACAUACUCACAUAAACCUGCACACAUGCACGUGGGCAUAUAAACAGAGAACACCUUUUUAUUAUGCAGCAUUGUGUCUAAACUGAAUGUACAAUUAACAAACCCUCCAAAAUUACUUACCAUUUAACUUGAAUAACAUUUCAUUUUUCCUUCUUAGGAGGAUGAUAUAGUCCAAGACUUAUCUACGAUAGCUCUGGGAUGUGUUUCUUCUGUGUGUUUUCCUCUGGUAAGCUCUCGAGGGCCCACAGUAACCUUCUGAGCUUUCCAUGUCUCUUUAGAAAGCAGAUUUUCUUUUUACCCCUGUACAUUCCAUUAUUUCUUGCAUUUUUAUAUCACAUUUGAAACAUUUGCCUCAAAUCUUCAAAUUGCUUUUAGCUGUC
rnacentral:lncRNA from 1 species